rnacentral:misc_RNA from 1 species
GUUUUUUUUUUUUUUUUUUUGGAUAAAAGUAAUCAUCUUUCAAAUAUGGACAUGGCUUACCCACUUAAAUUUCAUUUCUUAAACACAAGAAGAUUCUACAAUCUGUAUUUAAUUACUAAAAGUUGCAUAUGGGAAUAAUCAAAUGACUCAUUGAUUUGAAUCUACAACAGUACUGAGUAGUUGAAACCUUAAAGUAAAGCUAUCACAUAAAACAAGAGGUGAAGUUUGCUAAAACUGAGCAAGCUGCUCAAGUUUACGAGCUUGGAAAAAUCUGCAACGUCCUUUACCACUUGAUUCUAUUUCUUCACUUUUCCUUUUGGGUGUUGUGACACCAAAACUGCUCAACUUCAAUUGUCUUUUCCCACUGCUAGGACAAUCUUCAUCCAUUUUAUCAGAUUCCCACAAGACUUCAACAAUGUCUUUGAAAUGGGAAGUGCAUGUGCCCCAACUGAAGCGGACCAAUGUUGGAAAUCCAAAUACCUGGUGUUUGUGUUGUUCCAACCAGGCCUUGGUUUCAGGAUCUCCAGGAUAUCCAGAACCAAAGUUCCUAUUCAUGCCUUCAGCUGUUUCAUCAAGCACCCAUUCUCGCAAUGCUCGGUCUCGUGUAACCUUUGCAACUAUGCUUGCUCCACUCACAACAGGAUAAAGGCUAUCAGCCUUCUUUGCAACAACAAAUUUGAUAGAAGGAAAUCUUUCGGAUAGUUUUACUCUAUAUUUCUCAGAGUCUCCCACUGUAUCCACAUAAACCUCAGUCAAAAGAACUCCCAUGUUUAGCACCCUAGUGACAAGGCCAAUUGCAGAGUCAUGUGAUAUUUCAUUUAAGUUGAUCUUAUUCUUUUUUAACAUUUUAGCAGAGAGCUCCUUUGGAUCAAUGACAUCAACAGACCAUCCAAUUGCUUCAUUAGCCUUUAAAGUUUCAAAUAAUUCUUCUCUCUUCUCUUCUUUUAGAGUCUUUGAAUCUGCAAAGUUCAAGGUAGAAAGAGUCUUCUCAUAGGAACGAGCACAGUACAAACAUCCAUACACCAUGGGGCCAAGAACAGGACCACGGCCGGCUUCAUCGAUUCCCAUAAUGCAGGGCUUCGAUGCCCAUUUGGGGAGAGUGGAUUGGGGUUCACAUCCCAUUCUGAUUCUGCACUCACUCUCUAUACGCCGUUUUGGUUCCCGCCAGAAUUAGCCAGUUCAGACGCAAAGAGGGUUUUGUUCCGGA